GCCACUUGAUUCAUGGGUAGAUAAAAGAAGACUUGUCGUCCCACCCCCACUUGGUCUUGUCUGUAUCUCGUCCUACAUGCACGAGGUCGCAGUCAGUAGCAAUGGCGGCGACCAUAUCAUCUUCCUCGAACUUUCUCCCUCUUUCUGCAGAAGUUACUCUCACUCCUCCCAACCUUAUUCGAUAUAACUCUGCUUUGGCAAACGUUUCUGUGCACGUUAGAGUCAAACGAGAGGAGAUUAGCAGCUUAAGUAAAGGCUAGGGCUUGAUGGGUACAAAAACUGCAGAUUGA